GCGAAAGUGGCGGAACUGGCAGACGCGCUAGGUUCAGGGUCUAGUGGGCGCAAGCCCGUGGGGGUUCAAAUCCCCCCUUUCGCA
rnacentral:tRNA from 2 species